rfam:Myotis davidii contig195083, whole genome shotgun sequence.
CGCAGUUCUCGGGUGAUGCACCCCUGAAUCGGGCUCCCUCCUUUCUGGUUCCAGGUGCAUCAGCCAAGAACUACC